rnacentral:pre_miRNA from 1 species
AGUAAGUGAAGAGAGCUUUCUUCAGUCCACUCACAGGAAGGGUUGAGAUUUAUCCUGCUGUCGACUCAUUCAUCUCAACUACUUUGCGUUUGCGCGCAUAUAUCGGAGGAUCAACCUAACCAUCACGGUCGCAACAGACGCCACGCACAGUAAAUGAGUGAAUGAAGCGAGAGUCAAGCUGGAUCUUAAGCUUCUUGUAUCUUGGACUGAAGGGAGCUCCCUUUCCCCCCCCC